rnacentral:rRNA from 1 species
GUGUCAGCCGCCGCGGUAAUACGUAGGGUGCAAGCGUUAAUCGGAAUUACUGGGCGUAAAGCGUGCGCAGGCGGUUCGCUAAGACCGAUGUGAAAUCCCCGGGCUUAACCUGGGAACUGCAUUGGUGACUGGCGGGCUAGAGUAUGGCAGAGGGGGGUAGAAUUCCACGUGUAGCAGUGAAAUGCGUAGAGAUGUGGAGGAAUACCGAUGGCGAAGGCAGCCCCCUGGGCCAAUACUGACGCUCAUGCACGAAAGCGUGGGGAGCAAACAGGAUUAGAAACCCCCGUAGUCC